AUUGAACGCUGGCGGCAUGCCUUACACAUGCAAGUCGAACGGCAGCACGGGAGCAAUCCUGGUGGCGAGUGGCGAACGGGUGAGUAAUAUAUCGGAACGUGCCCAGUCGUGGGGGAUAACGUAGCGAAAGCUACGCUAAUACCGCAUACGAUCUAUGGAUGAAAGCGGGGGAUCGCAAGACCUCGCGCGAUUGGAGCGGCCGACAUCAGAUUAGGUAGUUGGUGAGGUAAAGGCUCACCAAGCCGACGAUCUGUAGCUGGUCUGAGAGGACGACCAGCCAACCUGGGACUGAGACACGGCCCAGACUCCUACGGGAGGCAGCAGUGGGGAAUUUUGGACAAUGGGCGCAAGCCUGAUCCAGCAAUGCCGCGUGCAGGAUGAAGGCCUUCGGGUUGUAAACUGCUUUUGUACGGAACGAAACGGCGAACUCUAAUACAGUUUGCUAAUGACGGUACCGUAAGAAUAAGCACCGGCUAACUACGUGCCAGCAGCCGCCGUAA
rnacentral:rRNA from 1 species